GUGAAAAAAGUUUAAGUAGCAUUCUAAUAAAUACUGAUUUCUUGGAUUUUGUUUUAUGAAAUUUUGCUAUCACUUUUCAUCCAUUCGGACACCAGAUCAAACUACCCAAUAUUCUUGAAAAGAAAAUUAAGAUUAUAAUAACGGGAUUUUUGAAGUAUGAAAUGUAGAUUAAAACAUUGAAUAAAAUUUGUCACAAACCGUAGAUAUUCGAUUCAUAAUGCCUGCCUAUAAACUU